GUCUGUUUGGAGAUAUAGAAAGUCUGGCCUGCCCACUGAUAAAUUUAAAGGGCCGCGGUAAUUUGACCGUGCAAAGGUAGCAUAAUCGUUAGUUUUUUAAUUGGAAUCUUGUAUGAAUGGUUGAACAAAAGAAUAACUGUCUCUGUUUUUAUAUUUGAAUUUAACUUUUAAGUGAAAAGGCUUAAAUACUUUAAAAAGACGAUAAGACCCUAUAAAGCUUGAUAAAUUUUAUUAUUAAGUUGAAUUCAAUUUCCUAUAAUAUAAUAAUUUAGUAAAAAGAGUUUAUUUUGUUGGGGCGACAAUGAUAAAAUGUUUGCUAACUGUUUAAAACAAAGACAAAAAUUACUGGUUAUCGAUGUAAAUGAUCCUCUAUAGGGAUUAAAAGUUUAAGUUACUUUAGGGAUAACAGCGUUAUUUUUCUUGAGAGUCCAUAUCGAAAGAAAAGUUUGCGACCUCGAUGUUGAAUUAAAAUUUCUAUAUAAUUGCAGAAGUUAUAGUAGAAGGUCUGUUCGACCUUUAAAUUUUU
rnacentral:rRNA from 1 species